rnacentral:snRNA from 1 species
GUGCUUGCUUCGGCAGCACGUGUGCUAAAAUUGGAACAGUACAGAGAAGAUUAGCAUGGCCCCUGCGCAAGGAUAACAUGCAAAUUUGUGAAGUAUUCAAUAUUUUA